ensembl:snRNA U6 U6 spliceosomal RNA
GUGCUUGCUUCGGCAGCGCAUAUACUGAAACUGGAAUGAUAUGGAGAAGAUUAGCAUGGCCCCUGUGCGAGGGUGACACGCAAAUUCAUGAAGCGUUCCAUUAAAGC